AAACAUAGUCCUCACAAAUCCACCAGAGUUUAAAAUGCCAACACAAAGAAAGAGGAAGGUAACGGACAUCCGGGAAAAGGAGGACAAGAUUGCGGUUUGGAUUAAACCACUCCAGAGGAACGAACACUCGUUUCCUGAGUGAAAGUCUUUUGUUUUCCCCGCGAAGUGAACUCUGCUCCCCGCAGUCAAUAUGCUGCUGACAGCAAUAAAUACGUUGGAUGCAUACGAAUUAUAGUGCUUUACUUUUUCGUAGCUAUAUGUACGAAUGCUUCAUGAUAACAGCCUGAUUUAAACCACAAAUGUGUAUACGGUUUUUGUUUUAAUUCUUUUUUAGUAAUCAGGAACGCAGACAUGCGAUGCACAUGGAUUGAUAGCAGGUGUAAACGGUCAGCGGACGCCAAGGAGCUUGAACCUGAAGUGUCGAUGUUGAGAAACGCUGACGUUUUCCUGUCUUUUCUGUCUUUUCUCUGUCUGACUUGAAUCACUGUGUCUCUAUAAAAAAAUGCACUAUUUGCACAGACUGUUGUUUUUCCCAUUGCGACCCCUUAAAUGAUCCGCAUCAUCACGUCAUGCGUCGCUUUUUGUGAAAUGAUGGCAUAAAUAAAUGAUGUAAUAAUAAGUCAUCAAAACGGA